AUGACUCACUACUGUAAGUCUCUCUGGUUAAGAGUGUCUGCUAAAUGACUCAAA
rfam:Salmo salar isolate Sally breed double haploid chromosome ssa12, whole genome shotgun sequence.